CACUGAGAACAUUCAGGGUGACCUUAAACUUAAGACAGUCCUCCUGCCUUUUUCUCCAAGUUCCUGAGAUGACAGCGACCUAAAAACACUGGGUUAAAUGAGAGAGCCUCAGGACAGCUCCCUAGGAAAGAUGGCUUCAGGACAAACUUCUGUUGCUGUGAAGCUGGCACAGAAGAUAAUCCACCCACUGAAGAGCAGAAUUAGCACCGGGGCUUUGGUGUUGGGUUUGUUUCCCUGAAAUAACUUCUUUCUCAGGCUUCCCAUGGCAUCACGGUGAAUCUCUGAAACGUGAAAUUUUAGGCAACAUCAGCGGUCUUUUUUUUUUUUUUUUUCUUUUCUUACAAUGGUUUCUAAGACAUAGGGCUGAACUCAUGGUCACAGUAAGGCAAUGACAACUCGGACUCCUACCCACGGCCAGCGGCUAGCUGCUGUAGGGUUCUGCUUCUGCUCGGCUAUCAUUUGCACCCUGGCUUCCAUGGCUGCUUCCCAGUGUUGACAGGGAUAGAGAGGAGAGUAAAGAGACAAGGGAGGACCGAACAGGAAGAAGAUGGGAGUCUGAGCAUGGAAGGGAAGGGACUGAAACGUGCUGCUCUGAGAGGACUUCAAAACAUGGACAACAGGAUGUCAGCUUUUUAGGAAAGUUGGAUUAGAUGGUAAGACCUGUCAUAGAAGAUGCCACAGCGUUGACUGGAACUGAGCCAGAAGUGUUCCUCCUUCUGGCUGCUACCUUGUAUGAUGCUGAAAGGUGCUACCUCUUACUUCCAAAUUCGCACCCUGAAGUGUGCAUGCAUGACCACACACAUAUGCACACACAUACACACAACGAAUAAGUAUAUAAAGUAAGAAGGGUGUGGUCCUGCCCUUUUGUCUCUUAGACUCUUCAAGACCUUCCUUCACGUGGAUCACUGCUUUCCUCCGCUCUGGAGCAAACGGCCAAAAGGGAGGAUCUCACAACCUCCCGCCUUUGUAUUAGUCGCUGAAGGAGAUGAGGAGGAGGAGGAGGAGUCACUUCAGCCAGUGACAGAAGACCGAAGGUUUGCCGAAAUCCCCAGAGAAUUCACAGACUGAGCCAAGUGCUAAGGAUCCUUAGAGAGUCAGGAGUGGCUGGGAAGAAAUUCGGAAUCUUUUCCUGUCCCUUGGAAGCCAUCAAAAGAGCUCGAAUAAAGAGGAAUGUGUAUGAAAGUG
rnacentral:lncRNA from 1 species